CCUACGGGCGGCAGCAGUAGGGAAUAUUGCUCAAUGGGGGAAACCCUGAAGCAGCAACGCCGCGUGGAGGAUGAAGGUUUUCGGAUUGUAAACUCCUUUUGUUAGAGAAGAUAAUGACGGUAUCUAACGAAUAAGCACCGGCUAACUCCGUGCCAGCAGCCGCGGUAAUACGGAGGGUGAAAGCGUUACUCGGAAUCACUGGGCGGAAAGAGCGCGUAGGCGGGAUAGCAAGUCAGAUGUGAAAUCCUAUGGCUUAACCAUAGAACUGCAUUUGAAACUGUUAUUCUAGAGUAUGGGAGAGGUAGGUGGAAUGCUUGGUGUAGGGGUAAAAUCCGUAGAGAUCAAGAGGAAUACUCAUUGCGAAGGCGACCUGCUAGAACAUAACUGACGCUGAUGCGCGAAAGCGUGGGGAGCAAACAGGAUUAGAUACCCCAGUAGUC
rnacentral:rRNA from 1 species